GGGGUCUAGGCUGCCCACAGGUGUCCCGCUGGGCUCCACGCCCCGAGCAGGCUUUCUGCACAACCACCAGGUAUGGAUGUUGCAGGGAUGGUGUGACUGUAUCACAGAGGCCCAACAGGGAAGACUGUCUGGAAUAUGUUCCUCAAGCUCCUCCUCCAGCUGAGAACAGUAUCCAGUGUCGCCUGACCACCUACGGGUGCUGUUUCGACCGUAUGUUCGUAGCCGCAGGUCCCAAUGGAGAGGGCUGCCCCAACCCACCAUACAACGUUCCCAGAACCACCUGUUCUCUGCCCAAGGCGGCCGGCUCCUGCAGUGGCUGGACGGGCCGAUACUUCUACGACGUCACCGCCUCCAGGUGCUCCCACUUCUGGUACGGCGGCUGCCACGGCAACAA